rnacentral:rRNA from 1 species
UGAGGAAUAUUGGACAAUGGGCGCAAGCCUGAUCCAGCCAUGCCGCGUGCAGGAAGAAGCAUCUAUGGUGUGUAAACUGCUUUUGUACGGGAAGAAACACUCCUUCGUGAAUGAGCUUGACGGUACCGUAAGAAUAAGGAUCGGCUAACUCUGUGCCAGCAGCCGCGGUAAUACGGAGGAUCCAAGCGUUAUCCGGAAUCAUUGGGUUUAAAGGGCCCGUAGGCGGUUUAGUCAGUCAGUGGUGAAAGCCCAUCGCUCAACGAUGGAACGGCCAUUGAUACUGCUAGACUUGAGUUAUUAGGAAGUAACUGGAAUAUGUAGUGUAGCGGUGAAAUGCUUAGAUAUUACAUGGUAUACCAAUUGCGAAGGCAGGUUACUACUAAUGGAUUGACGCUGAUGGGCGAAAGCGUGGGGAGCGAACA